rnacentral:pre_miRNA from 1 species
CACCUACUCCCUUCGUUCGGAAUUACUUGUCACAAAAAUGGAUGUAUCGGAAUUACUCGUCCAAGAAAUGAACGUAUCUAGAUGUAUUUUAGUUGUAGGUACAUCCAUUUUCGUGACAAGUAAUUCCGAACGGAGGGAGUAGUAU